UGGGGAAUUUUGGACAAUGGGCGAAAGCCUGAUCCAGCAAUGCCGCGUGUGUGAAGAAGGCCUUCGGGUUGUAAAGCACUUUUGUCCGGAAAGAAAUCCUCUGGGUUAAUACCUCGGGGGGAUGACGGUACCGGAAGAAUAAGCACCGGCUAACUACGUGCCAGCAGCCGCGGUAAUACGUAGGGUGCAAGCGUUAAUCGGAAUUACUGGGCGUAAAGCGUGCGCAGGCGGUUUUGUAAGACGGAUGUGAAAUCCCCGGGCUUAACCUGGGAACUGCAUUCGUGACUGCAAGGCUAGAGUAUGGCAGAGGGGGGUUAGAAUUCCACGUGUAGCAGUGAAAUGCGUAGAGAUGUGGAGGAAUACCGAUGGCGAAGGCAGCCCCCUGGGCUAAUACUGACGCUCAUGCACGAAAGCGUGGGGAGCAAACAGGAUUAGAUACCCUGGUAGUCCACGCCCUAAACGAUGUCAACUAGUUGUUGGGGAUUCAUUUCCUUAGUAACGUAGCUAACGCGUGAAGUUGACCGCCUGGGGAGUACGGUCGCAAGAUUAAAACUCAAAUGAAUUGACGGGGUCAUAGCUGUUUCCU
rnacentral:rRNA from 1 species